rnacentral:rRNA from 1 species
CAGGGAAUAUUGCGCAAUGGACGAAAGUCAGACGCAGCGACGCCGCGUGGAGGAUGAAAGCCUUCGGGUUGUAAACUCCUUUUAUGGGGGACGAGGAAGGACGGUACCCCAGGAAUAAGCGUCGGCUAACUACGUGCCAGCAGCCGCGGUAAGACGUAGGACGCAAGCGUUAUCCGAAUUUACUGGGCGUAAAGCGCCUGUAGGCGGCUAGAUAAGUCGGCUGUGAAAGCCCCGUGCUCAACGCGGGGAGGCCAGUCGAUACUGUAAAGCUUGAGGGCGGUAGAGGGGAGUGGAAUUCCCGGUGUAGCGGUAAAAUGCGCAGAUAUCGGGAGGAACACCAGUGGCGAAAGCGGCUCCCUGGACCGACCCUGACGCUCAGAGGCGAAAGCUAGGGGAGCGAACA